UAGGGAAUAUUGCGCAAUGGAGGAAACUCUGACGCAGCGACGCCGCGUGGGUGAUGAAGGCUUUCGGGUCGUAAAGCCCUGUCGGAAGGGAAGAAAAACGGUUUGGCUAACAUCCAAGCCGCUUGACGGUACCUUCAGAGGAAGCACCGGCUAACUACGUGCCAGCAGCCGCGGUAAUACGUAGGGUGCCAGCGUUGUUCGGAAUCAUUGGGCGUAAAGCGCGUGUAGGUGGCUUGCUAAGUCGAGUGUGAAAUCCCUGGGCUCAACCGAGGAAGUGCAUUCGAAACUAGCUCGCUCGAGGAUGGCAGAGGAAGGUGGAAUUCCAAGUGUAGAGGUGAAAUUCGUAGAUAUUUGGAGGAAUACCGGCGGCGAAGGCGGCCUUCUGGACCAUUCCUGACAC
rnacentral:rRNA from 1 species